UAUGGGAUAGACUGAGGAAGUACAGAUCAUCUGAUAACUCCGUUAUUAAAGUACAUAAUAGUUCUGCAAUGGCAUCAUUCUCUGUAAACGUCACCGCUUCACCUUCUCCACUCAUUCUUCAACGACGUCCUUUCUCCAACUUUUCAUCCUCUACUCAUCAUCAACUACAAGAUUCACAUCUGCAAAAUAAAAAAUUUGGGGCUUUCUCAUUACUGGGUUUCGCACCAUUUUCUUUCAAUUUGAGGAGGAGGAGAACUUUGAUGUGUGCAGCCAAUCAAGAUUCAAUGGAAGUAGUGAAAGAAACAGGCAAAACGAAUGGCCUGAUCGGUGUAUUGGGCGAAGUUGAUUCUCGUCAAGUACAUGACAAAAGUACUGAAGCUUGGUCGCAAUUUGCCAAAAGAAUAUCAGGUGAGUGGGAUGGAUUUGGAGCAGACUUCAGUAAUCAAGGGGGCACAAUCGAACUUCCGGAGUAUGUGGUGCCUGAAGCAUAUCGAGAGUGGGAGGUCAAAGUAUUUGAUUGGCAGACUCAAUGCCCCACUCUUGCUAACCCAGAGGAUCAUGUUCUCGAGUACAGGUCCAUUCAGUUACUUCCUACAGUUGGAUGUGAGGCUGAUGCUGCAACGGUAUACAGUUCGGAUGAGAGAAAAGUGGGUGGCGAAAACAGCGGAGUUACCACUUUUGCUUACCAAUCGAGUGGCUCUUAUGUUGCUGUCUGGCAAAAGAAGGACGACGUAACAGAGUUGGAAUACUGCUUGAUCAAUCCUCAAGAUUUUGAAUCUCGGGUUAGGAUUAUUCAGCGUAUCCGUGUAUCAAAUAAUACAGAGAUUAAGCUACAGGGUGUAAGAGUAUUUCGUGAGCAGUGGUAUGGACCAUUCAGAAACGGCGAUCAACUAGGAGGUUGUGCCAUUCGCGAUUCCGCUUUUGCUUCUACAGCACCUAUGAUUGCUUCAGAUAUUGCUGGUAUCUGGCAGGGUUCUAAAGCUAUCACCACUUUCAGCGCUACAAACACCGAGAUUUUUCGAGAGCUUUUAGACGCCGGACUGCAGAAGUCUGUUAGAGAUGGAGAAAACAAUGUAUUACUUCCUAAGCAGCUGUGGUGUUCGCUUAAACAAAACAAGGACGGCGAAACUAUAAGCGAAGCGGGAUGGCUUUUAGAUCAAGGGCAGGCAAUCACAUCAAGUUGCUUAUUCUCAAGCACUGCGAAGCUGAAGGAAAUAUCAAUAGCAUUAGAAACUAGAGCCUCGGAAUAAGUAGAAUAGCCUUGGUGGCAAUCCAUUCUGAUCCAAAUUUGUUUACAUCUCUAAACGCAUCACAACCAAGGUACGGGUACAUACUCAGUAAUCAAUACGGAUACUGGUACGAAAUACAACAUUUUUAGAAAAACCAAGGUACGGGUACGCGAGUGUUAGCUGGAAGUUUCGACGUUGAGUCUGAUUCAAUAUAAUGAGCAAAAGAAAAGAAAAUAUCUUUGAAGAUGUUCUGGACUUCGACAUAAAAAGCAUUGAUUGAAAAAGUCCAGUCGAAAUGAUCCUUGUAUAAGAGGGAAAUGUUGUAUGAGACUUAGAAAUAUUUCUAAGUUUAAAGUGAUAAUUCAACGGAGGCAACAUUAAGAUUGUGUUCGACAAAAAUGUUUGAAUUUGAAUAAAAGAAGGAUAACUGUAUUUUGUCCUUGUCUAGUUUCAAGAAAAGACGCGUGGAACGUUAUGAUGGAUUGAAGACAUGCCGAGCGCGACGAGUCAUUGUCUAGGAGAAAAGUCGUUGAUAGCAGUUAUUUCGACUUAGUAUAUAUAGGGGUAUUAGUAUUAGGAUUUCUGUGUGUUCAAUUGUUGUACAAAUACUCAAAAUUACUCAAAGUAUCUUGUGUAUUGAGAAAAUAGUGUCAUUGAGAAUGUACGUUUGAUAACACCAUAUUUUACAUUUCAAUUGAAGUUUAUUUAUACUUUUUCAGAAUUUA